ACUCAAAGGAAUAGACGGGGCUCCGCACAAGCAGUGGAUCAUGUGGUUUAAUUCGAGGCUACGCGAAGAACCUUACCCACCCUUGACAUCCCUAUCGUAUGCCUAAGAGACUAGGCAGUCAUUUAGUUGGAUAGGUGACAGAUGCUGCAUGGCCGUCGUCAGCUCGUGUCGUGAGAUGUUGGGUUAAGUCCCGCAACGAGCGCAACCCUUGUCGUGUGUUGUAUUUUUCACACGAGACCGCCCGGGCCAACCGGGAGGAAGGUGGGGUCGAAGUCAGGUCUGCAUGGCUCUUACGGGUGGGGCCACACACGUGAUACAAUGGCCGGUACAACGGGUCGCUAAAUCGCGAGAUGGAGCUAAUCCCAUCAAAACCGGUCUCAGUUCGGAUUGCAGGCUGCAACUCGCCUGCAUGAAGCUGGAAUUGCUAGUAAACGUGGGUCAGCACACCACGUUGAAUACGUUCCCGGAGCUUGUACACACCGCCCGU
rnacentral:rRNA from 1 species